rnacentral:misc_RNA from 1 species
AUAAAAAAAAAAAAAAACCAGAAAAAGAAUUGUCUUUCUCAGAAAUCAAAUAAGGGAAGUUUGUUUACUUGUUGCCUAGCAAGCUGUGAAACUUAAUAAUAAGCUCAUCUUCUUCAUCAGUGAAAUUCCCCCUUUUAAGAUCAGGCCUGAGGUAGUUUAUCCAUCUAAGUCUGCAACUUUUGCCACAUCUAAGAAGGCCUGCAGCUUUGGGAAGAGA